CCUACGGGGGCAGCAGUGGGGAAUAUUGGACAAUGGGCGAAAGCCUGAUCCAGCCAUGCCGCGUGUGUGAAGAAGGCCUUCGGGUUGUAAAGCACUUUCAGUGGGGAAGAAAGCCUUGGGGCUAAUACCCUCGAGGAAGGACAUCACCCACAGAAGAAGCACCGGCUAACUCCGUGCCAGCAGCCGCGGUAAUACGGAGGGUGCGAGCGUUAAUCGGAAUUACUGGGCGUAAAGCGCGCGUAGGCGGUCUGAUAAGCCGGUUGUGAAAGCCCCGGGCUCAACCUGGGAACGGCAUCCGGAACUGUCAGGCUAGAGUGCAGGAGAGGAAGGUAGAAUUCCCGGUGUAGCAGUGAAAUGCGUAGAGAUCGGGAGGAAUACCAGUGGCGAAGGCGGCCUUCUGGACUGACACUGACGCUGAGGUGCGAAAGCGUGGGUAGCAAACAGGAUUAGAUACCCUAGUAGUC
rnacentral:rRNA from 1 species